ACGGGUUGAUAUUCCCGUACCCGUGUGCGUGCGACAAGUGAUGAAUCUUAUGGUACUAACCGCCCGCCUACGUGCACUGGUCUUUUUGGUUGGUGUGUGUGGGUGCGUGGGAUCUUCGUGGGUAGUAGUCAAGUGAUGGGGUGACGCAGAGUGGUAGCUAGGCUUCCUUAUUGGAUUGGAGUGCAAGCGUGUGGCCUGUGGGGUUGGGAAAUCCGCCCCGCAUAUGAGGUGAGGCGUGAUGCGGACACCAUGUUGUGGUGGUAGUUAGUGUGCCUGUGCUGUCUAGAAAAGCCUCUAGCGAGUGCGUGCAUGGCCCGUACCGGAAACCGACACAGGUGGUCAGGUAGAGAAUACUAAGGCGUUCGGGUGAACUGUGGUUAAGGAACUCGGCAAAAUGCCCCCGUAACUUCGGGAGAAGGGGGACCAUUACUGGUUGCUGACAGCAUGAUGGCUGGUGGUGGUCGCAGAGGAGAGAGGGAAGCGACUGUUUAUUAAAAACACAGGUCCGUGCGAAAACGUGGAAGUUGAGGUAUACGGACUGACGCCUGCCCGGUGCUGGAAGGUUAAGAGGACCCGUGAGCACAUCUUUGUGGUGUGCGAGGCGGAGAAUUGAAGCCCCAGUAAACGGCGGUGGUAACUAUAACCAUCCUAAGGUAGCGAAAUUCCUUGUCGGGUAAGUUCCGACCUGCACGAAUGGCGUAACGACUUCCCUGCUGUCUCAACCACAGGCCCGGUGAAAUUGCAGUACGAGUAAAGAUGCUCGUUUCGCGCGGCAGGACGAAAAGACCCCGGGACCUUUACUAUAGCUUGGUAUUGGUGUUUGGUCAUGCUUGUGUAGGAUAGGUGGGAGACUGUGAAGCCGCAACGCUAGUUGUGGUGGAGUCGCAGGUGAAAUACCACUCUGGUGUGAUUGGGUACCUGAACCUUGGCCCGUGAUCCGGGUUGGGGACAGUGCCUGGUGGGUAGUUUAACUGGGGCGGUUGCCUCCUAAAUGGUAACGGAGGCGCCCAAAGGUUUCCUCAGUCUGGUUGGCAAUCAGAUGGUGAGUGUAAGUGUAUAAGGGAGCUUGACUGUGACACUGACGGGUGGAGCAGGUGCGAAAGCAGGGACUAGUGAUCCGGCACCUACGUGUGGUUGUGGUGUCGCUCAACGGAUAAAAGGUACCCCGGGGAUAACAGGCUGAUCUUCCCCAAGAGUUCAUAUCGACGGGAUGGUUUGGCACCUCGAUGUCGGCUCGUCGCAUCCUGGGGCUGGAGUAGGUCCCAAGGGUUGGGCUGUUCGCCCAUUAAAGCGGCACGCGAGCUGGGUUUAGAACGUCGUGAGACAGUUCGGUCUCUAUCCGCCGCGCGCGU
rnacentral:rRNA from 1 species